AAGUCGUAACAAGGUUUCCGUAGGUGAACCUGCGGAAGGAUCAUUAACGAAACAAAUGUCGGCGUGGGGCCCGGAAGGUGGUUGUGCUGGUGCGGCUUGCCGCGCAUGUGCACGCCUCCUCUCCCCGUCCUGCCCGGCUUUCCAUCCCAACACACACCUGUGCACACAAAGUCUGUCUGUGGGGGAAUGCUGCCGAUUGGGGUAGCGUGUUUCCUGCAGCACAGGCUUGUUUUCCAUCACACAUCCCAUUUGUUGUCUUGUCGAAUGUUUAUUGCUAUAAAUGAAAACAACUUUUAACAACGGAUCUCUUGGUUCUC
rnacentral:misc_RNA from 1 species